GGAGGAAAGCAGGGGAUCGCAAGACCUUGCGCUCAUUGAGCGGCCGAUGCCUGAUUAGCUAGUUGGUGAGGUAAAGGCUUACCGAGGCGACGAUCAGUAGCUGGUCUGAGAGGACGACCAGCCACACUGGGACUGAGACACGGCCCAGACUCCUACGGGAGGCAGCAGUGGGGAAUUUUGGACAAUGGGGGAAACCCUGAUCCAGCCAUGCCGCGUGAGUGAAGAAGGCCUUCGGGUUGUAAAGCUCUUUCAGCCGGAACGAAACGGUCACGGCUAAUACCUGUGACUACUGACGGUACCGGAAGAAGAAGCACCGGCUAACUACGUGCCAGCAGCCGCGGUAAUACGUAGGGUGCGAGCGUUAAUCGGAAUUACUGGGCGUAAAGCGUGCGCAGGCGGUUUUGUAAGUCAGAAGUGAAAUCCCCGGGCUUGACCUGGGAACUGCGUUGUAAGAAGAAAGCUAGAAGGGC
rnacentral:rRNA from 1 species